rnacentral:rRNA from 1 species
UACGAAGGGGCGAGCGUUGUUCGGAUUUACUGGCGUAAAGGGCGCGCAGGCGGUCUUGAAAGUCAGGCGUGAAAGCCCCGGGCUUAACCUGGGAAUUGCGCUUGAUACUCUGAGACUGGAGUACGGGAGAGGAGAGUGGAAUUCCCAGUGUAGAGGUGGAAAUUCGUAGAGUAUUGGGAAGAACACCAGUGGCGGAAGGCGGCUCUCUGGACCGUAACUGACGCUGAGGCGCGGAAAGCGUGGGGAGCAAGCAGGAGUAAGAACCCAG